rnacentral:misc_RNA from 1 species
AACAAUUCGCAGCUCUACUUUUUUUCAUUUCUCAGAAAAUCUGAAUCUCUAGAAAUUUCGAAAUCCUUUUUUCCGAUUUACAUUUUCUUUUGCCAGUCAGUUCUUCUGCUUCGAAGAUUUCUCCUUUCAAUUCCUCUUAUCGCCUGGUUUCGGCAAAUUGGAACAGAUACGAGGGGUAGAAUUGGUAAAAGAAAGAAAUCUGCAUGAACUGGUUGGGAAAGCUGGGUUACUAUUUCCUGUCGUCGAAUUCGAACCAUUUCUUAACGCGAUUUUUGAUAUUUUUUCUUCAUUUCUCUCCUCAAUUUUCUCCAUCAUCAUUUUAUAAUAAGAAGAUAAAUUUUUCGUCGUUAUCAUCAUCAUCAUCAUCAUCGUCAAUUAGCAGUAAUCUAAUUCCUAAGUCUAUCUCUAAUCGUCGGUUAUUAUUGAAUCAUGGAGUCUGGAUUCAGGAGUAAUCGCCAGCAAUUGCGUCGAGCUCUUUGUUAUUCGAAUGAUGGGAGGAGGCAAACAACCUUGCCAUCUGUGAUAGUGAUAGGUGGUGGUGUUGCUGGAGUAGCGGCUGCUCGUGCUCUUCAUGAUGCUUCAUUUCAGGUUGUGUUGUUGGAAUCUCGUGACAGACUUGGUGGUAGAGUUCACACUGAUUUCUCAUUUGGUUUUCCUGUUGACCUGGGUGCAUCGUGGCUGCAUGGUGUCUGCAAAGAAAAUCCCUUGGCCCCUCUAAUUGGGAGGCUGGGACUACCAUUGUACCGAACUAGCGGUGAUAAUUCUGUGUUGUAUGACCAUGAUCUUGAAAGCUAUGCUCUUUUUGAUAUGGAUGGGAAUCAGGUUCCUCAAGAAUUGGUCUCUAAGGUUGGGGAAACUUUUGAGAGAAUUUUGAAAGAGACAGAGAAAGUAAGAAUGGAAUACAAUGAAGACAUGUCCAUAUUCAGUGCUUUCUCAAUUGUUUUUGAAAGAAGACCAGAAUUAAGGUUGGAGGGUCUUGCCCAUAAGGUGCUUCAAUGGUACUUGUGUAGAAUGGAAGGCUGGUUUGCUGCUGAUGCUGAUACCAUCUCCCUUAAGUGUUGGGAUCAGGAAGAACUGCUUCCAGGUGGGCAUGGGCUUAUGGUGAGGGGCUACCUUCCUGUCAUAAACACUCUUGCCAAAGGACUUGAUAUCCGCUUGGGCCACAGGGUAACAAAAAUUGUUAGGCAUUAUAAUGGUGUAAAGGUAACAACUGAAACUGGGAGGACAUUUGUGGCAGAUGCUGCUAUUGUUGCUGCUCCUCUUGGAGUGCUGAAAUCCAGGGCCAUAACUUUUGAACCUAGGCUUCCAGAAUGGAAGGAAGAAGCCAUUAAAGACCUUGGAGUGGGAAUUGAGAAUAAGAUUGCAUUGCACUUUGACAAGGUAUUCUGGCCAAACGUAGAGUUCUUGGGAGUGGUUGCAGAGACAUCUUAUGGCUGCAGCUACUUCCUAAAUCUACACAAAGCUACUGGUCAUUCUGUUCUUGUUUAUAUGCCUGCUGGACAGCUGGCCAAAGACAUUGAGAAAAUGUCUGAUGAAGCAGCGGCCAAUUUUGCUUUCUUGCAACUCAAGAAGAUCCUACCUGAAGCCUCUGCCCCGAUUCAUUAUCUUGUUUCUCACUGGGGCUCAGAUAUCAACUCACUCGGUUCCUAUAGCUAUGAUACAGUAGGCAAAUCCCAUGAUCUGUAUGAAAGGCUAAGGAUCCCUGUGGACAACCUAUUCUUUGCAGGAGAGGCGACCAGUAUGAACUACCCAGGGUCAGUGCACGGUGCAUUCUCUACUGGACUGAUGGCUGCAGAAGAUUGCCGGAUGCGAGUUCUAGAGCGAUACGGUGAGGUAGACUUAUUCCAGCCAGUCAUGGGUGAGGAGGCGUCAGUAUCUGUUCCUCUCUUGAUAUCUCGUAUGUGACUUAUCGGGUGGCUAUAGUAUGUGAAAGCGUGUAGGCAUGUUAACAUGGGAUCAGAGCUGACACAAAGUUGCCAUUUUGAUUGGAUAGUCUAGGGAAUUAUGGGGAAAUUACUGUUUCCUCUAGACUAAUCACACUGGUAAAUGUGAAGUCUCCUGUGUAACAGGAAAUUACUCUGCAAUUAUUAUUGGACAAACAGAACAGUAUAAUAUUAUAUUGUGCCAUAGACUUAUUCUAAAGCUGGUUAAUAGAUUUGUCCCCUUUAAGAAUGAA